GCACUUAGCUCAGUUGGUAGAGCAGCUGACUCUUAAUCAGCGGGUCACAGGUUCGAACCCUGUAGUGCC
rnacentral:tRNA from 1 species